AUAAACAGACGAAAAUUUAAUAAAUAUCCUAAAACUCUUCGACCCUAAAUUAUUCACAUCCAACCCUAAUCUCUUCGACUACACACAGCGAAACCCCAGGGGGUGGGCAGUUCUUCUGCUUCUCGGUUGUUCUGCUUCCGUUAAUGGCAGCUCUCGUUUUCGAUUUCCUGCCUUUCGUUGCUUCUCCUCCUCCGUAGAUUCCCAAUCGUUCCCCAAUCAAACCCCUAAUCAACACCAACACCACCAUCACCAUAAGUUUCAAAACACUAGCUCUUCAGAUUUAGCUUCGUCCACGUCCUCGUCUUCGGAUUGGAUUGUUGAGGAUGCUUCCCACCAUCGCAGCCAAAACCAGAUACCGGACUACCAAGAGGAGCAAGCUAGGGUGCUUCGUGCUUCCCUUUGCUGUUUAUCUGCUCUUCAUAGCUAUUAAGCUGCAAUGGUUGCAGGUGCCAGAGACGCCGAUGUGUCUCCCACUAUAAUUGGGUCACUUCCCAGGAAAGAGGCUGCUCUAGUGGAGAUUCAUGACUCCAUACAAGCUCUAUUUCCAGAUAGAGAAUGUUUCACCCUUGUGCGGCCUUUGAACAAUGAAGCUGAGCUCCAACGACUUGAUCAAAUUUCAAUAAG